AUGGCAUCACCUUCAAGACUUUUUGUCCUAAACAGUGGCCUUGACGAUAUACAAAAGGAUGCCAUCAGUGAUAUAAGCUUCAGGGGCGUGCUUGAUAUUGGCACAAGAUCAAUGAAAGGAGAUCUUGUGAAGUUUGUCAUGAAGUGUUAUGAUCCAGAGUUGUCACAGCUUGUUAUCCCAGAUAGGGGGAAGAUCGCAGUUGAUGCAGCAAGCGUAGAAAGAAUCUGGGGUUUGCCAAGGUGGCAGAGGAAGGUUGCGUAUGAAGUGGAGCCAGACGUAGUUAGUUUGUUCAACGAGACGUUCAACAUCCCGAUAGGGCCCGUGCCAACAGUGACCCAGUGGUGUAAAAUAAUAAAGGAUAUGUGA
rnacentral:rRNA from 1 species